rnacentral:rRNA from 1 species
GACGAACGCUGGCGGCGUGCCUAAUACAUGCAAGUCGAACGCAGUGGGGACGGGUGAUUAAAACGUGGGUAACCUCCCAUCAGAGGGGAUAACACUUGGAAACAGGUGCUAAACCGAUACGGGUGGAUGGACCCGCGGUGCAUUAGCUAGUUGGUGAGGUAACGGCGCACCAAGGCCACGAUGCAUAGGCGAUCUGAGAGGGGGAUCGGCCACAAUGGAACUGAGACACGGCCCAGACUCCUACGGGAGGCAGCAGUGGGGAAUCUUCGGCAAUGGGCGCAAGUCUGACGGAGCAACGCCGCGUGAGUGAAGAAGGUUUUCGGAUCGUAAAGCUCUGUUGUUGGAGAAGCGGUAUCUAACCAGAAAGCAACGGCUAACUACGUGCCAGCCGCCGCGGUAAUUC